UGAAGUAGAAAAUAAGGAAUAUGGGGUUUGGGGUUUCGGAUUCUAGGGAUUUAAACAAAACACUCGUUAAUUCCACGUAAGCACAAAUCGUCGUAAAGGACUCGUAGUUCAACGAGGAAAUAACGACGAAAUAUAAAAAUAAAGAACGCGGGACUCGUUAAUUCCACGUAGGAUGAAAUCGUCGUAAAUACCACGUAGGAUGAAAUCGUCGUAAAUAUCACGUAAGCCAACGAGGAAAUAACGACGAAACUUAAAAAUAAAGAUGGGGUUUGGAAUAUAUGAAGUAGAAAAUAAGGAUUUCGGGUUUGGGGUUUGGGGUUUCGGGUUUCGGGUUUGGGGUUUGGGGUUUGGGGUUUCGGGUUUAGGGUUUGGGGUUUGAGGUUUGGGGUUUAGGGUUUGGGGUUUCGGGUUUGGGGUUUCGGGUUUGGGGUUUCGGGUUUGGGGUUUCGGAUUUUAGGGAUUUAAACAAAACACUCGUUAAUUCCACGUAGGAUGAAAUCGUCGUAAACACCACGUAAAAGGAUUUAAACAAAACACUCGUUAAUUCCACGUAAGUGGAAAUCGUCGUAAACACCACGUAAAAUGAUUUAAACAUAACACUCGUUAAUUCCACGUAAGCAGAAAUCGUCGUA
rnacentral:lncRNA from 1 species